UUAAAACUUUCAACAACGGAUCUCUUGGUUCUGGCAUCGAUGAAGAACGCAGCGAAAUGCGAUAAGUAAUGUGAAUUGCAGAAUUCAGUGAAUCAUCGAAUCUUUGAACGCACAUUGCGCCCCCUGGUAUUCCGGGGGGCAUGCCUGUUCGAGCGUCAUU
rnacentral:rRNA from 1 species